GGCUCAAUGGUCUAGUGGUAUGAUUCGCGCUUCGGGUUUUCUUUACAAAUCCAGAACUUGGGAAACCAGUUCAAGCCUUGUGCGAGGUCUCGGGUUCGAAUCCCGAUUGAGCCC